rnacentral:rRNA from 1 species
AGUCGAGCGAUCCCGCCUUUGGCGGGGAGCGGCGGACGGCUGAGUAACACGUAGGAAUCUACCCCUUUCUGGACCAUAGUUCGUCGAAAGACGGAGUAAUUGUUCAUGGUUCCCGACCUAGUCGGGAUAAAGAGAGUAACUUCUCGGAAAGGGAUGAGCCUGCGGCUUAUCAUGGUAGUUGGUAGGGUAAUGGCCUACCAAGCCUACGACGAGUAGCUGGCCUGAGAGGGUGGUCAGCCAGAGGGGGACUGAGACACGGCCCCCACUCCUACGGGAGGCAGCAAUCAGGAAUAGUCGGCAAUGGGCGAAAGCCUGACCGCGCGACGCCGCGUGUAGGAAGAAGCUCCUACAGAGUGUAAACUACUGUAGUAGGGGAGGAAGUCCCGACUUAGUCGGGGUUGACAGUACCCUACUAGAAAGGGGCCGCUAACUGCGUGCCAGAAGCGUCGGUAAUACGUGGGCCCCAAACGUUAUCCGGUUUUACUGGGUGUAAAAAGUCGUGUAGGUGUUCUGGUAAGUUUUUGUUUAAAGACUAAGGCUUAACCUUAGGAAAGACAAAAAUACUACCAGAAUAGAGUUAUCUUUAGGGAGAUUGGAACUCAAGGAGGAAUAGUGAAAUGCGUUGAUACCUUGGGGAACACCAGUGGCGAAGGCGAAUCUCUGGAAGAUAACUGACACUGAGACACGAAAGCUAGGGAGCGAAGCAGAUUAGAGACCUGCGUAGUCCUAGCCUUAAACGCAUGCUUGCUAGCCGCAUUUUGUCAGACUUUUGUCUGACAAGGUGUAGCGAAGUAACCCGUUAAGCAAGCUACCUGGGGAGUACGACCGCAGGUUAAAACUCAAAGGAAUUGGCGGGGA